UUCCUACACGUAUCCAGUAAAAGUAGAUAAGUGUCAAUUGUUAUUGUCAAAGAUAAUGUUUUUUCAACGGAAAGUUGUAUUUUUGCUGAGUUGGUGGUCACUAAUUCAAGCAGGUUCGCCGGUUAACUAUAAAGGUAUGUGUGCUUUCCAUUGUAACAUGCAAGAUAGAGCAUACAUGUAUGAAGGUGAAGGAGAUAUUGUACAUUUCAGUAGUGAUGACCCGACUAGAGCAAUAGUGACAACUAAUAAUGGAAAACUAAAAGAGAUAUUUGAAUGUUUUAUUACGCAGGGACAUUUUUUUGUACUGAGACAGGACAUUCCAGGUAAUGAAACUCAUUCAUUAUAUGCAUGCAGAAAAGAUGCCUUCUAUGAUACAAAAAACGACAUUAGAAUUCUUCAUUUUAGUCCUUGGAGAGUGCUAUCAAACUACCCAUCAUUAUGUGAUGUGUGCAUUGGCAUUGACUUCCAAUCGACACGUGCAUUAAAAG